rnacentral:tRNA from 1 species
GGGCAUGUGGUUUAGUGGUAUAACAUUCGCUUAGCAUGCGAAAUGUCCGGCAUUCAAUUCGCCACUUGUCCA